rnacentral:tRNA from 1 species
GCGGGGUGGAGCAGCCUGGUAGCUCGUCGGGCUCAUAACCCGAAGGUCGUCGGUUCAAAUCCGGCCCCCGACG